GAUGAACGCUAGCUACAGGCUUAACACAUGCAAGUCGCGGGGCAGCAUGGGGGUUGCUUGCAAUCCCCGAUGGCGACCGGCGCACGGGUGAGUAACGCGUAUCCAACCUGCCCUUCACCACGGGAUAACCCGGCGAAAGUCGGACUAAUACCGUAUGUUUUCCAUUGACGGCAUCCGAUUUGGACGAAAGGCUUGGCGGUGAGGGAUGGGGAUGCGUCCGAUUAGCCAGACGGCGGGGUAACGGCCCACCGGGGCUACGAUCGGUAGGGGUUCUGAGAGGAAGGUCCCCAAAACUGGAACUGAGACACGGUCCAGACUCCUACGGGAGGCAGCAGUGAGGAAGAUUGGUCAAUGGGCGUAAGCCUGAACCAGCCAAGUAGCGUGCAGGAUGACGGCCCUAUGGGUUGUAAACUGCUUUUAUGCGGGGAUAAAGUGGCCCACGUGUGGGCUUUUGCAGGUACCGCAUGAAUAAGGACCGGCUAAUUCCGUG
rnacentral:rRNA from 1 species